rnacentral:rRNA from 1 species
UACGGGGGGAGCAAGCGUUGUUCGGAUUUACUGGGCGUAAAGGGCGCGUAGGCGGCCACCGCAAGUCGACUGUGAAAUCUCCGGGCUUAACCCGGAAAGGUCAGCCGAUACUGCGGGGCUAGAGUGCAGAAGGGGCAACUGGAAUUCUCGGUGUAGCGGUGAAAUGCGUAGAUAUCGAGAGGAACACCUGCGGCGAAGGCGGGUUGCUGGGCCAACACUGACGCUGAGGAGCGAAAGUGUGGGGAGCGAACAGG